rnacentral:rRNA from 1 species
AUGAGUAAGAGUCUGAGUCCGCGUUACCAAGGCCUAUCGACGUACGAGAAGGAGUACCUGGCUAUUGUGGUGGCACUCGACCAGUGGCGACCCUAUUUACAGCACAAUGAAUUCGUCAUUUUCACGGAUCAGAAAAGUCUCGUUCAUCUGGAAGAACAACGAUUAACAACUCCUUGGCAGCAGAGAGCUUUCACCAAGUUAUUAGGCCUUCGGUACACGAUCAGAUAUAAGAAAGGCUCAGACAACACUGCCGCUGAUCUACAAUUGCAACCUCAAGCUUAG